AACAAAGGUUAAAUUAAAUUAGUGCCUUGACUUAUUUUGAAUUAUUUUGAUCCAAACCCAGUUUGAACAAAAAAUUGAUGGCAACCAGAAAAGCUAAGAGAUCUUAAAGAUCCAAAGUUACAAGUGGAAAGAAUGCGCUCUCUAAUUAUGCUAAUUUGAAGAGUAAACAGAGUCGAGUUUCAACUGGUGGAAAUUAUAAUGAAAAUAAAAUAUCAACAGAGCAAAGAUUCCGCGUGAUGUGUGUCCUCUCUUAACCUCUUCUAAGAUUGCUGGUGAUUAUUUCAAGAUGAAAAUAACAGUUCAACGUUAAAACUCAUUUAGUACGAAAAAUUUGAUUCUGAUGAGGGUAAUCAUGAUCCAACUGAUGAAGUAAAGGAGGAAUCAGUUUUGUUUGUGAAGAAAGUAAUCAAGUAUAAAUGAAGAAGCAAACAGAAUUGCAAGAAAUAGUAAAAACCAAAUCUCGCUCUUCUCUUAUUUUGCCUCUCAAUCUUAACAUUCAUUCAUCUUUUGAUACUUCUCAAUUAGAAACUCACAUUUUUCUCAUUUCACUCAUGGUCAUCAUCUUCUCUAAGACGAGAACCAUCAAUUUCAAUGGACAUCAUCCUUUAUUUUUAAUCUUCAGAGUUUUUGCCUGACUUUGUUCAUUGUUUUCCUUGCUUUUUUCACCUUCAAUCAGGAAUAUUUUGAAUUAAAUUUCAAAUAACAAAAGUCAAUAGUAAAUUAAAGUUUUGAUUGGAAUGUGGAAAGCGAAUGAUUAAAGUAAAACCAAAUAAUCAUGGAAAUGUUGAAGCAAAUUCACCAGAAAAAUUGACCAGAAAUUAUCCAGAAUUGGAAAAGGUUUGCUUUAUAAUCAAUCUAAAUCAAUUUGGGUUUACUUGACAAAAGUCAAUUCCUGUUAACAACUGUUAACUCGAUAUCAUUAAUCAUAAAAUGAAAUGUUGCUAAAAAUACAUUUGAUUUUUGCCAACAGUCCAUCAUUAACUGAUUCAUAUCUACUAAUUAUUAAAUGAUAUUCAAUCAAAACCAACAUUUUUCAUUAA